rnacentral:rRNA from 1 species
GAUGAACGCUAGCGGCAGGCUUAAUACAUGCAAGUCGAGGGGCAGCAUGACUGUAGCAAUACAGUUGAUGGCGACCGGCAAACGGGUGCGGAACACGUACAGAACCUUCCUUCGAGCGGGGAAUAGCCCCGAGAAAUUUGGAUUAAUACCGCAUAGUAUAUUGGAGUGGCAUCACUUUGAUAUUAAAGACUUAUCACUUGAAGAUGGCUGUGCGGCUGAUUAGAUAGUUGGCGGGGUAACGGCCCACCAAGUCUGCUAUCAGUAACUGGUGUGAGAGAACGACCAGUCACACGGGCACUGAGACACGGGCCCGACUCCUACGGGAGGCAGCAGUAAGGAAUAUUGGUCAAUGGACGAAAGUCUGAACCAGCCAUGCCGCGUGGAGGAUGUAGGCCCUCUGGGUUGUAAACUUCUUUUAUCUGGGACGAAAAAGGACCUUUCUAGGUCAACUGACGGUACCAGAGGAAUAAGCACCGGCUAACUCCGUGCCAGCAGCCGCCGCGGUAA